rnacentral:rRNA from 1 species
GACGAACGCUGGCGGCGUGCUUAACACAUGCAAGUCGAACGGAAAGGCCCUGCUUUCGUGGGGUGAUGGAGUGGCGAACGGGUGAGUAACACGUGUGUAACCUACUCUUCACUUUGGGGUAGCUUCAGGUAGCUAAGGCUACUAUAGUAUAGCAGCUCACGUUGGAUGGUGGGGAUUGGAUCGUCUCGGCGGGUGGGGAUGGAGUAGCGGCUAAUGAACUUGUUGGUGGGGUAGUGGCAGACCAAGGCUGUGACUGAUAGCCGGCCUGAGAGGGUGACCGGCCACAUUGGUACUGAGAUAGGGCCCAGACUGCUACGGGAGGCAGCAGUGGGGAGUAUGGCACAGUGAGCGGGAGCCGGAGGCAGCAGCGCCGCGUGCGGGAUGACGGCCUUCGGGGUGUAAAACGCUUCCGCCUGUGACGAAGCGUGAGUGACGGUAAUGGAUAAAGAAGCACCGGCUAACUACGUG